AGUGAACGCUGGCGGUAGGCCUAACACAUGCAAGUCGAACGGCAGCACAGGAGAGCUUGCUCUCUGGGUGGCGAGUAGCGGACGGGUGAGGAAUACAUCGGAAUCUACUCUGUCGUGGGGGAUAACGUAGGGAAACUUACGCUAAUACCGCAUACGACCUACGGGUGAAAGCAGGGGAUCUUCGGACCUUGCGCGAUUGAAUGAGCCGAUGUCGGAUUAGCUAGUUGGCGGGGUAAAGGCCCACCAAGGCGACGAUCCGUAGCUGGUCUGAGAGAAUGGUCAGCCACACUGGAACGGAGACACGGUCCAGACUCCUACGGGAGGCAGCAGUGGGGAAUAUUGGACAAUGGGCGCAAGCCUGAUCCAUCCAUACCGCGUGGGUGAAGAAGGCCUUCGGGUUGUAAAGCCCUUUUGUUGGGAAAGAAAUCCAGCUGGCUAAUACCCGGUUGGGAUGACGGUACCCAAAGAAUAAGCACCGGCUAACUUCGUGCCAGCCGCCGCGGUAA
rnacentral:rRNA from 1 species